UACGUAGGGUGCAAGCGUUGUUCGGAAUUAUUGGGCGUAAAGAGCUCGUAGGCGGUUUGUCGCGUCGGAUGUGAAAACCCAGGGCUUAACCCUGGGCCUGCAUUCGAUACGGGCAGACUAGAGUUCGGUAGGGGAGACUGGAAUUCCUGGUGUAGCGGUGAAAUGCGCAGAUAUCAGGAGGAACACCGGUGGCGAAGGCGGGUCUCUAGGCCGACACUGACGCUGAGGAGCGAAAGCGUGGGGAGCGAACAGG
rnacentral:rRNA from 1 species